GAGUUUGAUCGUGGCUCAGAUUGAACGCUGGCGGCAUGCCUUACACAUGCAAGUCGAACGGCAGCAUGAUCUAGCUUGCUAGAUUGAUGGCGAGUGGCGAACGGGUGAGUAAUACAUCGGAACGUGCCCUGUAGUGGGGGAUAACUAGUCGAAAGAUUAGCUAAUACCGCAUACGACCUGAGGGUGAAAGUGGGGGACCGCAAGGCCUCAUGCUAUAGGAGCGGCCGAUGUCUGAUUAGCUAGUUGGUGGGUAAAGGCCCACCAAGGCGACGAUCAGUAGCUGGUCUGAGAGGACGAUCAGCCACACUGGGACUGAGACACGGCCCAGACUCCUACGGGAGGCAGCAGUGGGGAAUUUUGGACAAUGGGCGAAAGCCUGAUCCAGCAAUGCCGCGUGUGUGAGAAGGCCUCGG
rnacentral:rRNA from 1 species